rnacentral:rRNA from 1 species
UGGGGAAUAUUGGACAAUGGGCGCAAGCCUGAUCCAGCCAUGCCGCGUGAGUGAUGAAGGCCUUAGGGUUGUAAAGCUCUUUCGACGGGGACGAUAAUGACGGUACCGUAGAAGAAGCCCCGGCUAACUUCGUGCCAGCAGCCGCGUAAUACGAAGGGGGCUAGCGUUGCUCGGAAUCACUGGGCGUAAAGGGCGCGUAGGCGGACGUUUAAGUCAGAGGUGAAAGCCCAGGGCUCAACCCUGGAAUGGCCUUUGAUACUGGACGUCUUGAGUCUGGUAGAGGUUGGUGGAACUGCGAGUGUAGAGGUGAAAUUCGUAGAUAUUCGCAAGAACACCGGUGGCGAAGGCGGCCAACUGGACCAGAACUGACGCUGAGGCGCGGAAGCGUGGGGAGCAAACAGGAUUAGAUACCCUGGUAGUCCACGCCGUAAACGAUGGAUGUUAGCCGUUGGCCGGUUUACCGGUCAGUGGCGCAGCUAACGCGUUAAGCAUCCCGCCUGGGGAGUAC